AGAGCUACUGUUAAAGGUGAUCUAAGAGUCGUAUCUUCUGAGACAGGUGUAGCCAUUGGGCUCUCUUUCUCUCUCCAGACGAAAAGCCUUGAUCUCUGUACGAGGUGAUGAUCGCGUUCUUCCUGGUGAUCGCCGCCUCUACCCCCACGGAUAAUGCCUCCUGGCCGUCGCGGAAGAAGGAGAGAGGUUUGUUUUGGGAGGAGAGAGGUUUGUUCUGAAUCGAAAUCAAAGGCGAGGGUUUUGUUCUGAAUCGAAAUCGAAGGCCAUAUGUUAUUAUGAAGACGAAAACGAAAUCGAAGGCACAAGUGAAGACUAAGGUGUCUAUUAAGGGGUACCUGCACACUUACAGAUUCUGUGACAACGUCUGGACAUUCAUAUUACAGAAGAGUGGCAUGUGACUCUAAGCUGCUCACACACUGAGAUGAUGGAAGUGACCAAGGCUCUGUUUCCAACGACAGUAGCACGCUUAAUGUUUGUUUAUAGCUGAUUGCUCUUAGUCAAGGAGAAGAUCCAAGGCUAGGCAUUCCAUCGACCUACAAAGACCAGAGUGAUAGUCGCAGUGGUCCAUGGAAGCUUCAUUGUGCAAAGCUAGUAUUGUUUUCAAAUAGCAGAAUAUCUAUUGUCUCUCAGUGUAGUCGACAUCAGACAGAGUCCCUUGGAUCCUGAGAAAAGGUCGAUUCCUUAAAGGUUGUAUUGAUGAUACUUGUGUAAUGAUUUCCACAUUAGGAUUUGUCUCAACGUUCUUAAUAGUUUCAUUACCAAAUUAUUUGGUCAUUUGAUUAUAACAUCACCAUGUACAAGUGUGUUUUGACUUUCUCGUACUUCUUUAAAAAAAUUGUUUUUCUUUACA